rnacentral:rRNA from 1 species
AUGUGUAGACCGGAUGGCAUCAACAUACCAGAUGGCAAGUCCUACCUAGGUGAUGCUGGCUAUGCAUGUCGGUCUGGUGUUAUUCCACCCUUCAGGAAAACCAGGUACCAUCUGAACGGGUUCUCUGGUAGAAACUAUCAUAGGACUCAUCGGGAACCGUUCAAUCUCAAAGACACCAUCCUUAGAGUAACGGUUGAGAUGGCAUUUGGAGCUCUGAAGAAUAUGUUUAAGAUCCUGGAUCAGAAGCCAUUCCACCCUUACCCUACCCAGACUAAGCUUAUUCUUGCAUGUUGCAUCAUUCACAAUCGGAUCCUACAAUGGGAUUGUGAUGAACUUGUGCCAGAGGAGGAAGAUGUGAUAUCUGAUGAUGUGAUCAGUACCGACCAUGAGGUCAGACAAGAGUCUGAAGAAGAAGAAGAAGAAGAAGAAGAAGAAGAAGCACAACAACAGAAGAAGAAGAAGAGGAAGAGGAAUCAAAACCAGAAGAUGAUGGACUUCCACCUAGUUGAACUUUUCCCUAUUCAGCCAUAUUGGCUCUUAAUAACUUGUACCAUCAUUUGCUAG